rnacentral:lncRNA from 1 species
GCACAACCCAGGCUAUGAGACCUUGAAGCUGUCAAAGCAGGAAGAAAAACUGAGGCUUCAGUUAAGAUAGGGGGGUAGCUAGCCUGGGAAGAGAUUAAGACAGCAGAAUGGUAUGAAAACAUGCACUACCAAUAGUAUUCUUAGGCAGGGGGCUUUUCGCUAUGCUUCAACCAAUUACACGCUGACGUGCGUUCGCCACGAUCUAUAUAUGUGCAUAAGUAACGGAUAAUAAACGGAGACUCUAAUGCACUCAUAUGGGUCAUGUCAUCACUCCCCACGCGGCUCGGCCAGCAAAUGGACUAAAUUCCGGUUUCGAACCCUUGGGGAUCUGCGACAACCCGGGACCAGGGGGGUCCACAACAGUUAACUAACGACUGAACAGAACACAGAAGAGGUAACCAUAGAAGCUGAUUCAGGUAUGGAGAGAUGCAGCUUUAGAAGAUACUCUUCAGAAAAGAAAACACCCAUAUUUGUAGGAAGUUUGCACUAGUCACAAAGUGAAGGAGCUGAACAGAAAUGGCAACAGUAACCUCCCAAGGCACUCCUGACUGAAGUCUACAUUGCUAGAUAAACCAAGUGUCCUCAGCCUCUCCUCAGGCGAAGUACCCUCUGGCCCUUUUAUCCGCUUUGCUGCCUACCUCUGCGCACUUUCAAGGAGCCAAACAUCAUUUUUAAUUGUGGAUUCCAGAACUGCAUGCAGUAUUCAAGGGCCAGAGUAAUCCCAAGAAAACAGAAGAUACUCUGAAAACACAGAUGUUAUUCAGUCCACUGGAAAUCAUCUCCCCAAGAGAUCUAUACUUCACCUCAGUAAGGUUGAGUUAGCCUUCAAAAAUACACAGAAGGAAAUAAAAGCCUCAGAGAGGUAGCAAAUCCAGCUAAGCCACAAAUGAGUCAACAUGUCCGUUAAGAUGCAUUGACUUUCCAUCCAUUUACAUUUAGAGACGAGGGGAACAAAAAAGACCUUUCAGUCCAGCUCUGUGUUCUGAGAUUUUGUGUCAGCAGCAUGUGGAAUUUCCUUCGGUCACUUAAUGUCAUCAUAUCGUAUAGGCAACAGCACUCGGGACAGCACAGCAGCGCUGCUUUAUGGCUGCAGGGCCACCAGUUGAAAAUUCAUCUGAAACGUGACUUCAGCAGUGCAAAUGCUCAACUUGUCCUGAUGGUUGUUCCAGACCUCAGUAACACAUGCAAUUGCUGUAACUGACAGCACAAAUGCUGCCUUGAUAGCAUGUAUGCUGUUGCCACCACCGAAAGGUA